rnacentral:lncRNA from 1 species
CCCCAGAAUGAACUGAAUUCCCUUUCCUGCUGUAUGACCCACUGGCAGGGAUGGUAUUUUAUAAAGCAGAUGUGUAGUUGGACCAGGUGACCCUUGAACUUUGAGAUCCCCGAUUUCUCAUGCCUAAAUAAGAGAUAGGUUCUCCGGAGAAGAUCAAAGAGGGAAAAUAUGGCUCAGAAUACAUCCAUAGAGAAUUGGUUUGGGUCUAGGGGAAGAACUUAUUUCAGAGUAAUAAUUCUCUUCUGGUUGUGAAUGGAAUUGUAUAAUAUAUUCAUAUUAAACAGAAUUAGUUGAUUAUAUUAAAUAAUCAUAAAUGUAGAUAGAAACAUGUAGAUGCAUUGUGUUAUACGUUAAGUACUUUUCCAGAAUGUUCACAUUUACUUUACAGUUCACACUGUUGCAGUUAUAGUUAAUGAAGUAAUAAAAUGAUAUGUAAAUUGCUUCACCUUUUCACCUACUUAUAUGGGAAAAAAAUUGCUUGAGUAAUAACUUUUAGGAAAGAUAUCUAGAAGCACUGCAAGUAACUUGUACUUGCAUUUGUGUUUUUCCUUAUUUGUCUCUUUUAUCUCAUUCCCAUGUGAGAUGAAUGAAAGGAUUUCCCUGAAACGAGCAGGUAUACAGGAGAGCAUAAAGGGCUUAUGCAACUAAAUGCUUCACCCCUUGACCUUUCAUUUUCAUCAUUAAAGACUUAUUCCUUUGGGUCUCAAAGAUUUAAACUACAAUGGAAACUUAUUGAAAUGCAAAUAUUCCUGGGAGAAAUAACAUCUUAAAAUGUAAUCUGCUGAUUUUUUAAGCAAUUAGUUAACUGCAGGUGAGAGAAGAAGAGAAGCAAAGAAUAGACUUUAGAGGUAGAAGAUGAGAACAAUGGACAGGAGAAAAGAAUGUUAGAGGCACCAAAUGUAAAAUAUACCCAAAUUUUAUUUAGAGUCAAUCAUCUCAUUUAAAAAGUUUUAGAUUUUUCCUUAUAUGUGAAAACUGCAAACUACAAAGGCUAGCAUAUAAUUGUGUGUAUGUCCACAACCUGGUAUUCUCAUUAUGAAAUACUUGCUAUUCAAACGAACAGUAA